UACGGGGGGGGCAAGCGUUGUUCGGAAUUACUGGGCGUAAAGCGUGCGCAGGCGGUGAUGUAAGACAGGUGUGAAAUCCCCGGGCUUAACCUGGGAACUGCAUUUGUGACUGCAUAGCUAGAGUACGGUAGAGGGGGAUGGAAUUCCGCGUGUAGCAGUGAAAUGCGUAGAUAUGCGGAGGAACACCGAUGGCGAAGGCAAUCCCCUGGACCUGUACUGACGCUCAUGCACGAAAGCGUGGGGAGCAAACAGG
rnacentral:rRNA from 1 species